rnacentral:ncRNA from 1 species
UAUGAAACUUUGAUGAGAUAAGUAGCCGGGAAAGAAAGCACAGAGAGUCUGCGGAUGGUGAGAGCAGAUGUUUCGGAAUCAGCGAAAAUGGUCUUUGAGUUAUCGCAUGUGAGGGAAACUUAGCAGGUGACGGGUACGCCCGAUAGCGCGUGGAGGGAUGACCGUCCCUUGCUGAGAUAAUCUUUUGAUUAUGAACAAAGGUGGUAACGCGAGCACUCGCCCUUUCA